GACGAACUGUCCAAACGUUGUUCGGAAUCACUGGGCUUAAAGGGCGCGUAGGCGGUCGAUCAAGUCAGGGGUGAAAUCCUGCAGCUUAACUGUAGAAGUGCCUUUGAUACUGGUCGUCUCGAGGGAGGUAGGGGUGUGUGGAACUUCCAGUGGAGCGGUGAAAUGCGUUGAUAUUGGAAGGAACGCCGGAGGCGAAGCGAACGCACUGGACCUCCUCUGACGCUGAGGCGCGAAAGCUAGGGGAGCAAACGGG
rnacentral:rRNA from 1 species